CGCCUACGGGACGCAGCAGUGAGGAAUAUUGGUCAAUGGGCGGAAGCCUGAACCAGCCAAGUCGCGUGAGGGAAUAAGGCCCUACGGGUCGUAAACCUCUUUUGCCGGGGAGCAAGGGCGGGGACGUGUCCCGGCCCGGAGAGUACCCGGAGAAAAAGCAUCGGCUAACUCCGUGCCAGCAGCCGCGGUAAUACGGAGGAUGCGAGCGUUAUCCGGAUUUAUUGGGUUUAAAGGGUGCGUAGGUGGUUAAUUAAGUCAGCGGUGAAAGUUUGUUGCUCAACCAUAAAAUUGCCGUUGAAACUGGU
rnacentral:rRNA from 1 species